UAAAAUAUCAGCUGGCUAUAAUCUGCGGACGAUCUAACAACACUGUACUACAAAACAAUUUUUCCCGCCCAAGGCUUUGGUACUAAACCUCUACACUGUGCGCCACAUACUUAAUCGGCAUACCAAUCAUUUUUGGGCACUUACAUAAAGCGUUAGUAGCUUUUAUUUAUAUAUAUAUAUAUGAAUGUGUGUGUGCGCGUAUUUCGUCGUCAUUGUCAUGUAUGGGAAAAUUGCUUUAAACUAAGUAUGUGUCACCCGACCACCCAAGCUGCUGAUUGACUAACUGACAAAUGGUUGCAGUCAUGUUGCUGCCCAACCCAAUUCCCACCUGCGCGAAAUGGUUCAAAUGUCAUAACAAGAUGGAGCAUACAUGUCAUGCCAACACAUACACAUACAUAUGUAUGCAUGUACAACAUACACACACGCACACACACACAUUGCAUUUGCAUGCACAAUGCACAAUGGCGGGACUGGGACUGGGACUGGGAACAAUGACAAGCACAUUGGGCGUCGUUGGCGUCCAACUGCCUGCACCAGGCAAUAAUAAUUCGCCAGUGCCAGUCAUUGACAAUGUCGGUGCCAUAAUGGCUCUCCACAGACUGACUGACUGCUGCUUGUGUAGCCGUUGCAGCAAUUGUUGUACCCUGUACCCGCGGGUGUUACGGGGAUAUCUUGAUCACAGAGGUUAGAGCGUUCAGUUAUAACCUGCAAAUAAGGCUUGCCACGCCUCUUUCCGUCAUCGCAAAUCAGAAAAAUCGAUGAUAUUCACAGUUUUGAAGCACGAAUUACAGGGUAGCGACAGCGUUCAUAUUUGCUGGUGUUGUUGCCACUGCUGCACUGCGUCGGUGGCAAGAACGAAAUGACAGAGGGUGCGACACCUACAAUUGCGAGAGUCGUCUAAAUGAAUGAAUUAAGUCAGCCAUGUGACAUAACUGCAAUGACCGCCGCU